rnacentral:lncRNA from 1 species
AGCACCAGGGGAUUUUUCUUACAUAUUUACCAUGAGAACCUAAUAGAGCUCCAGGUGGUAGGACUCACAAAAGUGUGGGGCUUCUCUGUGAUUGGGUCCUCCUGGAGUUUUUAACUCUGAGGCUUGUCUACACCAAGCCUCCAGCAUUUCAUCGGUUACACUUUAGGUUUUCCUACCCCAGCACUGCUUCCUACAGAGGCUCUGUCUCAGUUUUCCAGCUGGGACAUAGUUUUUCUUCUGUCUUUCCACAUGGAUUCGAACUAACACCAUCAGCUCGCCUGCUUCUCAGACCUUCAGACUCAGAUGGAACUACACUAUAGGUUCUCCUGGGUCUGGACUUCUCAGCCUCCAUAAUCAGAGGUUUUCCUCAAAUGUGUGAUGACCUUAGCUGACCAUUUUUUUUUUAAAGAACUUCUAACAUUUUUCAUUAAGGGACGGACUGUUGUGCAGACUCAGGCAGCUCACUCGGGGCUGGGCAGCAGACAGUGAUUAUCGUCACCCCCUGCUUUCAUCCAUUACGGCGGGUGUUAGCAGAUGUGGGAUUUGAGACCCAAAGAAGUGAAGUAACCUGCCCAAGUUUACACAGCUUGGAGUAGAACCCGAGUUUCUAUGGACUCCAGAGCUCAUGAGUUCACCACUUUUCUGUGCCUCCUAACUCGAUGCCGCUGAGGACUCAGAAGAAGCCAGUGCUAAUGCUUUCUCCAGUUUCUCUCCUCUUGUGUGAACUGUGUGAACUGCCACUUUAAGACUCUCUUGGAGAAUCAUAAUCCAAGUUGCGAAGUCCAACAAUUCCUCUGGAGAAAUGGUUCUCAACUGGGGGCAAAUUUGGGCCCCAGGAGACAUAUGGCAAUGUCUGACAAUGUUUUUUUGAUUGUUACAAACAGGUUGGGGAGAGAGUCCUGCUAGCAUCUAGUUGGUAGAGGCCAGGGAUAAUGCUGAACAGCCUGCAGGACACCCCGAACCCCAUCAAAGACCCAAAACGUCAAUGGUACUGAGGUUGAAAAACCCUGGUCUGG